rnacentral:rRNA from 1 species
GACGAACGCUGGCGGCGUGCUUAACACAUGCAAGUCGAACGGAAAGGCCCUGCUUUUGUGGGGUGCUCGAGUGGCGAACGGGUGAGUAACACGUGAGUAACCUGCCCUUGACUUUGGGAUAACUUCAGGAAACUGGGGCUCAUACCGGAUAGGAGCUCCUGCUGCAUGGUGGGGGUUGGAAAGUUUCGGCGGUUGGGGAUGGACUCGCGGCUUAUCAGCUUGUUGGUGGGGUAGUGGCUUACCAAGGCUUUGACGGGUAGCCGGCCUGAGAGGGUGACCGGCCACAUUGGGACUGAGAUACGGCCAAGACUCCUACGGGAGGCAGCAGUGGGGAAUAUUGCACAAUGGGCGGAAGCCUGAUGCAGCAACGCCGCGUGCGGGAUGACGGCCUUCGGGUUGUAAACCGCUUUCGCCUGUGACGAAGCGUGAGUGACGGUAAUGGGUAAAGAAGCACCGGCUAACUACGUG